rnacentral:ncRNA from 2 species
AUGUUAUACAGAAGAGCAGAGAGAUUAGGCUCGUUGAAGCUCUAGCAACCUUCCCCCUGAAAGGAAAGGUGCUAAUACCUAACCUACCGGAUAUUCCGGAAAGGAAAUUAUAACUG